rnacentral:rRNA from 1 species
CCUACGGGUGGCAGCAGUGGGGAAUAUUGGGCAAUGGAGGAAACUCUGACCCAGCAACGCCGCGUGAAUGAUGAAGGUCUUCGGAUUGUAAAGUUUUUUUUUAAGGGAAGAAGAAAGUGACGGUACCUUAGGAAUAAGCCUCGGUUAACUCCGUGCUAGCAGCCGCGGUAAUCCGGAGGCGGCGAGCGUUAUCCGGAAUGACUGGGCGUAAAGGGUGCGUAGGUGGUUUGGCAAGUUAGUAGCGAAACUCCAGGGCUCAACCUUGGAACUACUACUAAAACUGUUGGACUUGAGUGCAGGAGGGGCAACCGGAAUUCCUGGUGUAGCGGUGGAAUGCGUAGAUAUUAGGAAGAACACCGAUGGCGAAGGCAGGUUGCUAGACUGUAACUGACACUGAGGCACGAAAGCGUGGGGAGCAAACAGGAUUAGAUACCCUAGUAGUC